rnacentral:rRNA from 1 species
AUCAGCCUUUUCGGGUGCGAUUCUGUGGGGUUUGAUGAGCUUAACACCUUCAUGCUCUGCAUAUUCGUGCUCUUGGGUGUACUUGCCCGUGUGGUUGGUUAACAUCAAUUUUGGUGGUCAUAAAAUGACUGGAGGAAUGUAGCUUCGAUCUUGUAUUGAAGUGUUAUAGCCUUCGGUAGAUGUGAUGAUCGAGAUUGAGGAUUGCAGCGGAUACCCUUCGGGGCUACCUGUCUGAUCUCUGAUCGUUGCUCUGGUGCCGAAAGCUUGCUUACGGUUAUCAAAGUCGAUGGUCAAUAGGUUAGAAUGGGUUAAAUUCGUUAAGGAUGUUGACGUAAUGGCUUU